UCAGCCUUCCCUUCACCCCUGUACCUGUAUACCCCCACCCCCAUAUUAUGUAUACUUAACUGUGGUCAAGAAGAGGCCAAUUGUAUAACUUUGCUCUUAAAACCAUGUAGAAUUGGCUGAAGCUGCGAUGCCAAUAUGUGGCUUACAUGCAUCCCUUUCCCUAUUCUCAUUGCAGACAUCAGCUCAAGGCAUGCCUUCUUGCGUAGCCAGAAGGCGGUCAAUUUUAGGGAGCCGUUACUGGUCAACCAGAGUUAUCUUGUGAGAAAAUCUCGCUGUUCUCAUUGGAAUAGAGAGUUUGGGAUGAGUACUAAAAGUUCUUUAUCUUUUUCCUUCAAGUCUAGGAUUUGAUAUGGCCCAAAUUAAGAGAUCUUGCUUAUUAUCUUAGAUUGGUAAGUGUGUUAGCAUUUUAGUAACUUUCUGAGUAUACUUAAACACACUUGAAUUUAGCACAACCAAAUUGAGUUCUGUCACCAUAAACCUUUUUAUGAAAUAUUCUGUUAGGAAACGUUAGAUGCCACUACAGUUCAUUUUUGGACAACUUUUCUGUAAAUUUACACUCAAAAAGUUAUCCUUCAUUUGGGAUGGGGAAUAGGCUGUGUCUUGUGAUCUAACUUAAUUCAUUGUUAAGUUUGAUGUGUUAGUCAAGGUUUUCCAGAGAAACAUAACUUCUAAGCUGUGUGUGUGUGUACUCGUUUGUGUAUGUGUGUGAGAGAGAGAUGUUUAAGGAAUUGACUCACAUAAUUGUGGAGCUGACAAGUCCAAAAUCUGCAGGUUAGGCCAACAAGCAAGAGCUGAUGUUGCGUUUUAAUUCCAAAGACAGUCUUCUGGCAGAAUUCGCUUUUCGAUCAGGCUUUUUGAAAUUAAAGUCUACAAAUAGUUUUCGGUUGAUUUAAAUCUUUUCUUUUUAGGGCCCCACCUGCAACACAUGGAAGUUCCUAGGCUAGGGGUUGAAUUAGAGCUGCAGCUGCUGGCCUACACCACAGCAACUCCAGAUCUGAGCUGCGUCUUCGACCUACACUGCAGCUCAUGGCAGUACUGGAUCCUUAACCCACCAAGGAGGGGCAGAGGUCCAACCCUCAUCCUCAUGGAUUUGUCGGUUUCAUUACCACUGAGCCACAAUGGGAACGUCUGUUAAUGUAAAUAUUAAUCCUCACUUUAAAAAAAUACUAUUCAGAAACAUCUAGAAUAAGGUUUAACCAAAUGUCUGGGUCCUGUGGCCUAGCCAACUUCACACAGUUGAGAGAGACUGACUCAUUCAGUGAUGAUUGAGUACCUAAUAUGAACCAGGCUCUAUGCUAGAUAUUGGAGGACCUCAGCAGAUUUAAAAAGAGAAAAAUAUAGUCAACAAUUUUUUUUUCUUGUCAACUAAUCUUAGAAAUAGAAAUUAGUCAUGCUUAUACUAAGUAUGGAAGGGAAACUUUCUUAAAAAAUAUGUAAUGGCAGAUAUAUAUUCAGUGUCCAAUAAUUUUAUAUUUAAUUUUAAAAUAAAUUUAGAAUUACACUGAAUUAAAAAUUUAUGUUUGGUUUUAGAAUGACUUUAUUCUUGAGUGUGUUAUUUUAGAAAUACUCUUUUAAGCUUAACAAAAUGCAAAUCUCUUUAGGAGUAACUUGUGUUGAGAGAGAAAAACGCUAUUUCAUCCAGACCUCUGCUCUGUUUUCUCAACGAUGAAGAGCACUGCUUUUUUCAUAUCACAGGAGAGCCCGGUUUCAGCCUAAGUAGACAUUUACCUCUUCUGUUGAAAUAUAUCCUCUGGCCUUGUCUACCUAAAUUAGAGUGAGAUUUAACAUGCUGAGGGAAGGGGAGUCUUCAGAAAGGCAUGUCAAACGUUUUCCUCUUUUAUUUCCUUUUGAAUUAUUAGCAGAAAUGGUGAAAAUUUUGUUAGGAAAAAGGGAAACUAAGGAUUUGCCAUAUGGAAUGAAAUGAAUUAGUAUAUGAUAAUACUUGGCAUGAAGUUUAAAUCAUUGUGGGGCCAAAAAUUGAUGACUACUUACACAUUCUUGUGGGGUUUAAUUCUCAAAUUAGUUAAUAUGUUAGCUAAAAAUGAUUAAGAUUAAAUUUUCCACUGCUAAGGUAAAGGUCUGAAUUCUGUAUAGGGUGCAGUAAUUCUGUUAAGAGUUGUGCCUGUGAAGAGCAUGUGGGGCUCCUUUUGAUGGGUGAUCUGGGGCCGGAUUGGCUGGAGGUGGGCCUCUGAAUGCCGGCUGUCCUGCCUCAGUUCUCUUUAGCACCCGUCUAUUAUUUUGUUUUUGUUCCCAGGCAAAUGACUAUAAAAUUCCCCGUUUAAAACAAAACAAACUUUUAAAUAUAUGUUUGUGUAGGUCAGAAAUCCAGUAUGGGUCUCCCCAGACUGAGACAAGGUGUGAGAAAAGUCAGUUUCCUGUUCUUUUAGUCUGUUGGCAAAAUUAAAUUCUCGGGGGUUAUAGGACGUAGGUCUCUGUUUUCUUGUCUGUAAACUGCGAGCCCAUUCCACCUUCUUUGGGAGCUACAUCUUGGCUCAUGGACCCCUACUUCCAAUUUCAAAGCCAGCAACAGCAGUUCGAAUCCUUCUCAUUGGCACCUCUCUUGACUCUCCUUCUCUCAUUGCAUCUUUUCUUCUGAUUCAUGUGAUUAGGUUCAGCUCAGGAUAAUCUAGGAUAAUCUCACCAGCUCGAGGUCCAUAACUUUAAUCGCAUUUUCAAAGUCCCCUUUGCUGUGUUAGGCAAAAGAUUCCAGGGAUUAAGACGUGGGCAUAUUUGGGGGCUGUUGGUGCAUUAUUCAGCCUUCCACACCUCCUUUUCACUCCUCAGAAUGUCCCAGUUUCACCAUCCAAUCUGAGUAGCCAGUUGAAGUAUUUAAAAUAGGAAUAAAAACUAAAACUCAGGUUUCUUCCUCCCUUUUAAAUUUAUGUUUCAGUUCUUUCCCUUUUUGUUUCCUCUCCUGCUUCCCUUUCAUACCUUUGCAAAGGUCAUGAAUCGUUUUCCUGGCUCACUUGUUAGAAGUCAGUGAGUGGGAAGUGUCUGUCAGUCCUCUUCUGUCCAUUAUUUAUGGAUAAAGGAGCCACAUGUUUUAUGGUGUGGUGGCUUCCAUCACUCUUUUAGUCUUUUGCUUUUGAAGCCUGUGACUCUCAUGUUCCUCAGUGUUUAGUGACAAGGUAGCCAGUGAAUCCUGAGGGUGUGGCAUCUAAAUUUGUGCUGCUGCUUGUGCUUGAGCCUGUCCUUAGACCGUUACAUGGGAAGAGGAGGAAGAGGAGGAAUUAAGACCGGCUUUUUUCUCCCUCUGCAUUUAGGCUCUAUUUUGUACCAAAAAGAUAGCUGGGCAUUACAUUUAUUUAAAUAGCUGCUGAUUUUUUUCAGAGGGCAUGGUUUUAUAUUCUAGAGACAAUUUUACUAAUACAACUGCAUUUUUAUCAAGUUAAGUACUUGAAUGUUUUUAUUUCACAUUUUGAAAUUUUUUAUUUAUUAGAUUAAAUUACAUUAAUUGAAGAAAACAGUUGUGUGUCUUACGUGUAUCUAAAGACCAAAUUGCCGUUUCUAUCUACUCUUCAACUUAAAUUUGUAGUUUGGAACAUUGCCAACAGCAGAAAAUAUAAUUUAUAUUCAAAUGGAUUAAUUUGUUCCUUGGACAAUUUAAAAAAAGACUAAUUUAUGAUUUUUAAUGCUGUAUCUUAUUUUAAUAAGCUAAGUAGAUAUUUGAUACUUGCUAAUUUAUAUAUACUUGAGUCCUUAAUUUAAUCGUGAAUCCAUCAGAGUUUAGAUUUAGUUAAGUAAUGCAUAAGAUCUAAAACCAGUGCUACAUACUUCUAAAGUUCAUUUCUUUUUUUUCCCAUUCACAAUGCCAGUUUUACACUCCAUUUGCUGUCAGUGGAAAUGCAGGCGGCAGACACAGACAUAUUUAUCAUCACUGAGUUCACUGGAUCAUACAGGAAAAGUACAUUAAGAUGCCAUACAGAAAGUCUAACACACAUAAACAACCACUUAGCAUUUUUAAGAACAUAUCUGACUUAUUGAUCAGCUUAAAUAUCUUUCAUUCGAGCGUGUUACCCACGUGGAGCGCAUGCAUUCACGUACUUAUCUAAGCAAGAGCUGCUUGUGCUGAUGAAUGAGCACAUCUCCCCUUUAUGUAUCACCACGGAGAUCAAACCUUAGAAGGCUUUCCCCCUUCCAUCGGAAUCCCUAAAUCUUGUCACAAUUAAAUUAUUCUCGGGGUUCUUUAGAUAAGGUGCACUCCGGAAGAUAGCUGUAGAACACCUGAUUUUACACUGACAUUUGUGUUUGGUGUUCUGAGCCUCUUUUCCUGAAAUUUGUGUUGCUGUUUGUUGUUCUAGGCCCAGUGGCAGAUGCGGUGGGGAAUGGGGACUCUUCUUAAUUUCUCUUUUACUUAUGAACUCUUACGUUCUUCUAUAAAUGCUACCCUAGUAAAUUAGCCUCACCUCAGAUUGUGUGUAUGUUUAAAAAAUAUGUGCAAUAACUGUUAGAUUUUUUUUUUCUAAUUGGAGUAUAUUAUCAAAAUUAGGAAAUAGCAAAAUAUAAUACCUAUUUUACAUGGAUACCAACCUAAACCUUAGAAAACAGUAAUAAGAAAUAAUACAGAUAUGAAAAAAAUAGGGGGAGUAAUUUAUUUAAAGGAUAAAGAACAGAUGAGUAUGUUUUCAUUUUAGGCCUUUAUGGGCAUUUUAUGUGCGUUCUAGAUUUGAGACAUUUUAAGAGAAAAAUGUCCUAGCCUUUUCUUUUAGUGAAACAAUACAACUGGAAGUUAUGUGUUUAAAAGUUUUAUGGUUUCCUCAGAUAAAUACUUUAUGUCCUAAUAUUUUCUCUCUCUAAAACAAAAAAGAGAAACAGAAUAGUUGCAAAUUAUGGUUCCUUGCAUACUUUCUAUGACCCUGUGCAGUUGGGUAAGGUUUUGUGUCCUCCUUUCUUGAAUCAUUCCUUUUGGACUGAACUAGCUCAUGGCGCCAGUCAAGCUGUUUCAUUUUAUUGUUGUUAAUUUCCAUAGAUAUGUUUUUAGAAUUUGUAAACGGGUGUGGUAUAGUCUUCAUUUCUGCUCUUUACUCAUCCUUUCCCUUCCUCUUCCAGAUUUGCACUAUUACUUCUUCAUCAUGCAAUCUAAAAUCUGUAGCUUCAGGAGUUCCCAUUGUGGCUCAGCAGGUUAAGGAUUCGAUGUUGUCUCUGUGCGGAUGCAGGUUUAAUUCCUGGCCUUGCCCAAUAGGUUAAGGAUCCAGCAUUUCUGCAAGCUGUGACAUCAGUUGCAGAUGCAGUUCGGAUCCUGUGUUGCCAUGGCUGUAGGCCACAGCUGCAGCUAUGAUUCUACCCAUGGCCUGGGAACUUCCAUAUGCCACAGGUGUGGCAAGUAAAAAAAAAAAAAAAAAUCUGGAGUUCUGCUGUGGGUACAAUAGGAUUGGUGGGAUCUCUGUAGCAUCAGGAUGCAGGUUUGAUCCCUGGCCCGGCACAGCGGGUUAAAAGAUCUGGUGUUGCCACGGGUGUGGCAUAGUUCGAAACUGGCUUGGAUCUUAUCCCUGGCCCAGGAACUUCAUAUGCCUUGGGGUGACCCC
rnacentral:lncRNA from 1 species